UAUUUCCUCUUCGUGGCCGAGCAUAAUUACUCUCGCCAGGUAAAUAUGAACUCUCAAGGUGUCUAUUGGUGCCCUCAGAGUGGCUUAAACUGAGUCGUGGAGGAGAUAAGGACUUAUUAAUUGAAAGUAGGAUAUAACCACCCUCGCCGCAAGGGAAGGAAGUUGCGAAGUAGUCCUAUUUAACCCUUUUUUGACCCUUAUUUCCCUCGUGACCGAGCAGUGUUACUUGUGCCAAUUAUAAAUGAACUCUUGAAAUGUCUAUUAGUGUCUUUAACGAAUUUCUAAUGCGAGGUAUAAGGGAAAUAAUGAGGUGUUGAAAUUUGUUUGGUCGUGUGCUGUCCUCGGCUAAUUAGAUGUAGCUUUGAUGUGGUAAUUUAAACCAUUUAGCUCGUUGCAUAUGCACUCAUCGGCCUUGAAAGGAGUCCCAGAAGCCUCGGUGUAACAGUCCACAAGCAGCAACCAGCAAGUGUAGAAAAACAGACCUGAUUCGUAGUAAGAGAAACACUAUCUUGGGUUUUUUCUUAUAGUGGUGUGUGGGGCAAUUAAGUCUUAUCUUGCACGUGUCACAUGAUUUUCCUUGAAGUCUAUUGCUGUAAAAGGCUGACAGAGGGAAGGGCUAGUGAAGGAAAAGAGCCCACUACAAGCUGUCAUGGAGAGAAAAUAAGCCUUGUCAUUUUUGUUUUUCAAUAUGACAAGUGACUGUGUCUAGUGCUGUGAAGAGCUGACAGAGGGAAAGAGCCCGUUGCAAGCUAUCAUGCAGAGAAAAUAACAGGAGGCUUUACAUUCCCUUUCAAGUGUGACAAGUGUCUGAUAAGGAGUUGAUUAAUACAUGUGAUAAACAGCUGGAGUUAUCACUGGUGCCCUGGUGCUGUGAAGAGCUAACAGAGGGAACGGCUAGUGAAGGGAGAGAGCCCAUUACUCACUGUCAUGCAGAGAAAAUAAGACAAGGCCUAUACACCCAAUUUUCAGCAUGACAGGUGACUGAUAAGGAAGUGACUCGUGAGUGAUAAACAACUGGACUUAUCACUGGUGCCCUAGUGCUAACAGGGAUCUGGAUUCUGUGCCAAAAUAUCAACUCAGAUGAGGCUCGUGGAUUUGGAAUAAGCCGGGAAGAGGCGGAGGCAGCUGAGUGAUGCUAGGGAGUGUGGGCGGCGUGUGCAGCGGCCCUGUGUCCUGGUGGUGCAGUGAGGUGCUGCGCUGCUCCCCCAAGGUGGCCCCUGACCCCAGCCCCAGCUCUGGCCUGCCACCCAUGGCGGAGUGUGAACAAUGCAGCACCAGGUUCAACCU